UACGGGGGGAGCAAGCGUUGUUCGGAUUUACUGGGCGUAAAGGGCGCGUAGGCGGUCGUGACAAGUCACUUGUGAAAUCUCCGGGCCUAACUCGGAACGGUCAAGUGAUACUGUCGGACUAGAGUACAGAAGGGGCAACUGGAAUUCUCGGUGUAGCGGUGAAAUGCGUAGAUAUCAAGAGGAACACCUGCGGCGAAAGGCGGGUUGCUGGGCCGACACUGACGCUGAUGCGCGAAAGCUAGGGGAGCGAACGGG
rnacentral:rRNA from 1 species